CUGGGGUGAAGUCGUAACAAGGUAGCCGUAUCGGAUGGUGCGGCUGGAUCACCUCCUUUCUAAGGAGAAUU
rnacentral:rRNA from 1 species